UACGUAGGUGACAAGCGUUGUCCGGAUUUACUGGGCGUAAAGAGCACGCAGGCGGUCGAUCAAGUCGAGUGUGAAAGCCCCCGGCUCAACUGGGGAGGGUCAUUCGAUACUGAUCGACUCGAAGGCAGGAGAGGGUAGUGGAAUUCCCGGUGUAGUGGUGAAAUGCGUAGAUAUCGGGAGGAACACCAGUGGCGAAGGCGGCUUCCUGGCCUGUUCUUGACGCUGAGGCGCGAAAGCUAGGGGAGCAAACGGG
rnacentral:rRNA from 1 species